UUUAAGAGACGUGGGUUAGUUUUUCUCUUUGGUUAUCUAGCUGUAUGAGUUUAUGUAAUAUCAUAAAGCUAGAGAACCGAAUGUAUAAACUAAUUCCGC
ensembl:miRNA